rnacentral:rRNA from 1 species
CCUGAACGCUGGCGGCGUGGCUAAGACAUGCAAGUCGCACGGUGUAGCAAUACACAGUGGCGAACGGGUGAGUAAUGAAUCGCUAAUGUACCCCGGACUCUGGGAUAGCUAACCGAAAGGGUAGGUAAUACCAGAUGAGACCACGAACAGGCAUCUGUUUGUGCUCAAAGGUCCGCCGGUCUGGGAGCAGGCGAUUUCGUAUCAGCUAGUUGGUGAGGAACGGCUCACCAAGGCGACGACGCGUAGCCGGACUGAGAGGUUGGCCGGCCACAUCGGGACUGAGACACUGCCCGGACUCCUACGGGAGGCAGCAGUAAGGGAUCUUCCGCAAUGGGCGCAAGCCUGACGGAGCGACGCCGCGUGGACGAAGACGCCUUUCGGGGUGUAAACCACUGUCGGGAGGGACGAAUACAGGGCCUCGAAUAGGGGACCCGUGGGUGACGGUACCCUCAAAGGAAGCACCGGCUAACUCCGUGCCAGCCGCCGCAGU